rnacentral:rRNA from 1 species
UGGGGAAUAUUUGACAAUGGGCGCAAGCCUGAUCCAGCCAUGCCGCGUGUGUGAAGAAGGCCUUUUGGUUGUAAAGCACUUUAAGCGAGGAGGAGGCUACUUGGAUUAAUACUCUAGGAUAGUGGACGUUACUCGCAGAAUAAGCACCGGCUAACUCUGUGCCAGCAGCCGCGGUAAUACAGAGGGUGCGAGCGUUAAUCGGAUUUACUGGGCGUAAAGCGUGCGUAGGCGGCUUCUUAAGUCGGAUGUGAAAUCCCUGAGCUUAACUUAGGAAUUGCAUUCGAUACUGGGAAGCUAGAGUAUGGGAGAGGAUGGUAGAAUUCCAGGUGUAGCGAUGAAAUGCGUAGAGAUCUGGAGGAAUACCGAUGGCGAAGGCAGCCAUCUGGCCUAAUACUGACGCUGAGGUACGAAAGCAUGGGGAGCAAACAGG